rnacentral:snoRNA from 10 species
CUUCCCAUUUAUUUGCUGGUAUAGUCUCACAAUGAUAUGGCCAGUUAUACUUAUGGGAAAAAAUAAUAUUGGGCCAUCGUAUAUUGACAUGAGUAACUAUUUUCACCUCUUCUGCAUGGACUAUCUAUAU